GGGCUCGGCCCGAUCCUCCCACCCUUUGUGUACCUACCUCUGUUGCUUUGGCGGGCCGCGGCCCUCCGCGGCCGCCCCCCUCCCCGGGGGGGUGGCCAGCGCCCGCCAGAGGACCAUCAAACUCCAGUCAGUAAACGAUGCAGUCUGAAAAACAUUUAAUAAACUAAAACUUUCAACAACGGAUCUCUUGGUUCUGGCAUCGAUGAAGAACGCAGCGAAAUGCGAUAAGUAAUGUGAAUUGCAGAAUUCAGUGAAUCAUCGAAUCUUUGAACGCACAUUGCGCCCUUUGGUAUUCCGAAGGGCAUGCCUGUUCGAGCGUCAUUACAACCCUCAAGCUCUGCUUGGUAUUGGGCACCGUCCUUUGCGGGCGCGCCUCAAAGACCUCGGCGGUGGCGUCUUGCCUCAAGCGUAGUAGAACAUACAUCUCGCUUCGGAGCGCAGGGCGUCGCCCGCCGGACGAACCUUCUGAACUUUUCUCAAGGUUGACCUCGGAUCAGGUAGGGAUACCCGCUGAACUUAAGCAUAUCAAUAAGCGGAGGAAA
rnacentral:rRNA from 1 species